UGGGUUAGUGGCGGACGGGUGAGUAACGCGUGGGCAACCUGCCUUACACAGGGGGAUAACACUUAGAAAUAGGUGCUAAAACCGCAUAAGCGCACAGCUUCGCAUGAAGCGGUGUGAAAAACUCCGGUGGUGUAAGAUGGACCCGCGUCUGAUUAGCUUGUUGGCGGGGUAACGGCCCACCAAGGCGACGAUGCGUAGGGGUUCUGAGAGGAAGGUCCCCCACACUGGUACUGAGACACGGACCAGACUCCUACGGGAGGCAGCAG
rnacentral:rRNA from 1 species